AGGGCCCUUUCUCAGGAUGAUGAAGAUGAUACCCACUUAAAAAUAGAGGAUAUCAUUCAGAUGUCAGAAUGUCCAAAACCAGAAUGCUUUGAGACUUUGUCAGCCAUGGAGCUUGCAGAGCAAAUAACUCUUUUAGAUCACACAGUUUUCAGAAGCAUACCCUAUGAAGAGUUUCUUGGUCA